rnacentral:lncRNA from 1 species
AUGGCGCAGCUGUCGCCGGGGUGCCUCUCAGGCCCUGCUCAGGCCCUGCUCAGGCCCGGGCGCCCGUGCCAGAGGGACAAUAGCUGGAAGGUGAUCGGCAUGUCACUGCUUGGCCGACACAGUCUCACGACCGGGGAGGGGGGGACACAGGUCUCCUCGGUACCUAGAAGCUCAUCUUCACUGACUCCCAAGUCACUGGGGAAAGAAGCAGCCUGGUUCACUGGACACAUUGGUUUUGCAGCGAUGUCUCCUCGGAACGUUGCGUGUAAAUCACUCCAAUCCGAGAAGGUGAGCAGCAUGAAAAGCAUAUACCGAGGCAGGUAAGCAUGCAGCACCUGCCAAUAUGUCCCAUCAUCGAUACGCUCCUUUGUCCUAUGGAGCCACCUCUAUUUCCUUAAGUCUCUGUUAAUAGUUAUUAUUUUGGAGCUUCUCAGAAGGAUUGGGAAGCAACACACAAUGAACAAACUCCAAACCUGCUCAUAAAAACAUGCAAAUAAACUCCCUGCAUAAUAUGCCAUUUUUUUAUCUUGGCAUAUUAUUUUUUACUUAAUUGCCAACAUAUUGCCAUUCUAAAUUGUUCUUCUUAACAAUUUGAUUUACUUUUAAAAAUAUACGUUGCCUAAAAUAGCUAUUGCUUGCCCAAGGAUGCCCUUAUAGACACCUGCAUUUCAUUCACAAAUUAAGGCAAAUUAGGGUUAAAGAUCACAAGCCUAAAAAGUAUAUUGUUUUGUUUUGUUUUGUUUUGGAACAGACUAUACAAAAUACUUAUGCUUAUUGGACAAUUCUCUGAACAGGCCACCUCUGCCGGGAAGUCUUUCCUGACUCUUCCCAGUGAGGAUUAGGCUCUUUCUCUCUGUGCUCCCAUGAUACCCUGUCUUCACCUGUAUUUAUCCGGUGUAUCUGUUUCCUCGUCUAGACUAGGGAGCCCUGUGGCAGGGACAUUACAUUCUUGUCUCUCCAGCACCCAGCAAAAUAUCUGACACCUGCUAGGUGCUUCAAAGGUGUUCACAAGAUGAAUGAACAGUUGAUUGAUUAUUCUAUGACUUUCCAGUCUAUCCUUCUAGAAGAAAAAAAAAUUGUUUUUUUUUUCUGACAAUAGUGACAGCGACAUAAUUGGCUAAUUGAUGAGUUAGUCAUUGAGAUCACCCAGUCAUGGACUAUUUGAUGAUUUAGCUCACGGUCUACAAAUAGGACCCUCUUUUAAAGGCUUGGAGGGAUGGGCUGAAUUUUACCUGCUACUACGAAAAUCGUUCACAUCAACAACUGGAACCCGGGCAGCACAGCCUUCGAAGUGUUGCUGCUAACUCGAUCCGGGAAAGGAGGUCAUCUGUACAUGAGUUGCAGUGCCUGGGUUUUGAAGUUCAGAGCAGAGAGGUGGGGGGGUGUCAUUUUAUAUUGAGAAUGGAAAGUCAGGAGCCUUGCGAGCCGAGCA